CCUACGGGAGGCAGCAGUCGAGAAUUAUUCACAAUGGGGGAAACCCUGAUGGUGCGACGCCGCGUGGGGGAAUGAAGGUCUUCGGAUUGUAAACCCCUGUCAUGUGGGAGCAAAUUAAAAAGAUAGUACCACAAGAGGAAGAGACGGCUAACUCUGGGCCAGCAGCCGCGGUAAUACAGAGGUCUCAAGCGUUGUUCGGAAUCACUGGGCGUAAGGCGUGCGUAGGCUGUUGUGUAAGCCGUGUGUGAAAGGCGCGGGCUCAACCCGCGGACGGCACAUGAUACUGCGAGACUAGAGUAAUGGAGGGGGAACCGGAAUUCUCGGGGUAGCAGUGAAAUGCGUAGAUAUCGAGAGGAACACUCGUGGCGAAGGCGGGUUCCUGGACAUUAACUGACGCUGAGGCACGAAGGCCAGGGGAGCGAAAGGGAUUAGAUACCCUAGUAGUC
rnacentral:rRNA from 1 species